CAGCAGCAAGGAAUAUUGGGCAAUGGGCGAAAGCCUGACCCAGCGACACCGCGUGGGGGAAGAAGGCCCUCGGGUUGUAAACCCCUUUUAUCAGGGACGAAUAAUGACGGUACCUGGUGAAUAAGCUUCGGCUAACUACGUGCCAGCAGCCGCGGUAA
rnacentral:rRNA from 1 species